rnacentral:rRNA from 1 species
AUUGAACGCUGGCGGCAGGCCUAACACAUGCAAGUCGAGCGGAUGAGAAGAGCUUGCUCUUCGAUUCAGCGGCGGACGGGUGAGUAAUGCCUAGGAAUCUGCCUGGUAGUGGGGGGCAACGUUUCGAAAGGGACGCUAAUACCGCAUACGUCCUACGGGAGAAAGCAGGGGACCUUCGGGCCUUGCGCUAUCAGAUGAGCCUAGGUCGGAUUAGCUAGUUGGUGAGGUAAUGGCUCACCAAGGCGACGAUCCGUAACUGGUCUGAGAGGAUGAUCAGUCACACUGGAACUGAGACACGGUCCAGACCCCUACGGGAGGCAGUAGUGGGGAAUAUUGGACAAUGGGCGAAAGCCUGAUCCAGCCAUGCCGCGUGUGUGAAGAAGGUCUUCGGAUUGUAAAGCACUUUAAGUUGGGAGGAAGGGCAGUAAGUUAAUACCUUGCUGUUUUGACGUUACCGACAGAAUAAGCACCGGCUAACUCUGUGCCAGCCGCCGCCGUAACAC